AACUUCGAACGAAGUGUUUCGUACUUAUAUCAAUAGUUUUUUAGUAUUUCGAUGACUAAAUUCUAACGCUAAGUGUGUUGACCCCUGAUUUUAUCGUGAAAUAAAUGUCAGAUUCGGUUUUCUCGUGCCAAAAAACCCCCCAGUAUACCAAUUUUCCUAGCAAUCGAAUAAAAACAAAUUUUUUCCGAAAUAUCACUCCAAAAAAGGCCGAAAAAUCUAAAAAGAGUGAACUAAUUUCUCAAAACCACUAUUGAAUUCCUCGGGUCCGAAUUAUGUAAAAUCAGUUGUCAAAGUGAACAAACAAUGUAAAAACAUAGCACAUUACAGUAGAUUACAAAAGAUAUUAAAAUAUAGGUGGCCGCCAAAGUUCACAACUUUCUCAAUUUUCACCAAAUAAAACAAUGUUGUCGUUUCAAAAUUUGCAUAUCGGGUCAAAAUUGAGUGCGCUUUCGAUCUAUGAUGAAAAAUGCCAAGCCAGUCAUACAUUUUUUCGACAUAAAUGACAAUUAACUUCGAUUUUCAUCGAUUUUUCCCCAUUUUUCGAAGUUUAGUCAUUCUGAUCCUUGACACCGGAAGUCUAUAUAUAAUUUGGGGGUAAAAAAAUAAACAUGAAGGUCUAUUACUGUAAAUUGGUAGUCGGGGACAUAAUAUGCAUGUUAGCGGUGUAAUUCAACAUCUUUUGAUCAAUUUUUGUUAGAUUGUGUCAUCUAUUUAAUCGCUCGUUAAAUGUUGACUACAUGCAGUCAUUUCAAGUGAAUUGAUUUUUGAAGUUUCAUUACAUGCACUCAUUUUGAGUUACCGUUGACCCGUUGCAGUGACAUUUCUUCGAGGUUAUGUGCUCCAAGUUCGCGGAAACGUUUUGAUGGAUAAACUAAAUAAACUUGGCCCCGUGAAAAAGUUCGACACAGCCGAAGACGCUGCAGAAUAUAUCAUAAAAGUGAUCAAAUUUAGCACCGAUAUCGGCUGUAAUGCUUACAAUUUUUUUUAGCGAGAUACAGAAAUUUGCAAUGGCGAUUGCACCAGAUGACGCCCGAUCCUUAGAAUAUACCGAUAAAGUGCAAUUUUUCAUUGAACUGGGGAAACAUUUGUCGAAUACAGCUUGUGAAAACCUCGACAUUUUUAAUGAUUUAUCUUGUACGGCAUCAAGCACCACAAUAACCACCACGUCUGAAAAGCCAGCUACGAAUGCACAGAGCCAUUUGGUUUUCAAUAAUUUUGGUACAUAUAACUUCCAUGCAAAUUCCCCAUGCAAACCAGAAAAAUGAGGUGGUGGAAAAACGGAAAUGUUUCAAUGCAUUCGCAAAUUUAUUUGAGCGUAAUACGUAAGCCAAAAUAGUGUUAAAAAAAAAAACAAAAAAAUACACGUCAAUUCCAUUUUUAAUUUAGAUUAUCCGAUGUAUGUGAAAAGUAUUAAAAUUUAUGUCAAAAUCAAUAAAUGGGAAUUUUAAAAGGUUAUAAUGCA